rnacentral:rRNA from 1 species
AGAGUUUGAUCCUGGCUCAGGACGAACGCUGGCGGCGUGCUUAACACAUGCAAGUCGAACGGAAAGGCCCUGCUUGCAGGGUACUCGAGUGGCGAACGGGUGAGUAACACGUGGGUGAUCUGCCCUGCACUUCGGGAUAAGCCUGGGAAACUGGGUCUAAUACCGGAUAGGAGCCAUUUUUAGUGUGAUGGUUGGAAAGUUUUUUCGGUGUAGGAUGAGCUCGCGGCCUAUCAGCUUGUUGGUGGGGUAAUGGCCUACCAAGGCGGCGACGGGUAGCCGGCCUGAGAGGGUGGACGGCCACAUUGGGACUGAGAUACGGCCCAGACUCCUACGGGAGGCAGCAGUGGGGAAUAUUGCACAAUGGGCGCAAGCCUGAUGCAGCGACGCCGCGUGGGGGAUGACGGCCUUCGGGUUGUAAACUCCUUUCGCUAGGGACGAAGCUUUUUGUGACGGUACCUAGAUAAGAAGCACCGGCUAACUACGUGCCAGCAGCCGCGGUAAUACGUAGGGUGCGAGCGUUGUCCGGAAUUACUGGGCGUAAAGGGCUCGUAGGUGGUUUGUCGCGUCGUCUGUGAAAUUCCGGGACUUAACUCCGGGCGUGCAGGCGAUACGGGCAUAACUUGGGUACUGUAGGGGUAACUGGAAUUCCUGGUGUAGCGGUGAAAUGCGCAGAUAUCAGGAGGAACACCGAUGGCGAAGGCAGGUUACUGGGCAGUUACUGACGCUGAGGAGCGAAAGCAUGGGUAGCGAACAGGAUUAGAUACCCUGGUAGUCCAUGCCGUAAACGGUGGGCGCUAGGUGUGAGGGUCUUUUCACGACUUUCGUGCCGUAGCUAACGCAUUAAGCCCCCCCGCCUGGGGAGUACGGCCGCAAGGCUAAAACUCAAAGGAAUUGACGG